UUUGUCCAACAACUGAUAGCACUUUUGACCUACGAAAUGGAGCCAUCAAGGAGUGGUAUCCAAAUAAUCCCGUUCUGAGAGUCUUGACUCCCCCUUUAAGAAAUUUAUUCGUCUACCCCGUGAAAACUGAUGGAGAAAAUAUUUAUAUAAGCAUUACCAGAGGUGCUCAAUCUGAUGCAUCUGCAGAGAUUGUUUUCAGCGGAAAGGCUCAGCCUGGUUUAACUGCAACAGAUGUCAAUGUUGAUGAGGUAAUUUGUAGCUCAAUGAACAGUUUGGCUAAGCUAAGUAACUUUUACUUUACUAUUAAUUCCAAUAUGUUCAAUAGAUAAUUUUUUUGGUAAUUCUUGGCCAAACAUGGUCUAUAUGUCGUGAAAUUAAUCCAACGGCUCCUGGAAAGCUAUUACUAACAUGCUGCCUCAACUUUGUUUUUCAGGUUAGAAUGGUGGUCGAUGAGGAUUUUGAAGGUUUUGGUUUCACGGGGAAGAAUGAAUUGAUAAAUGGAAAGGCAGCAGUAAUUGGCUUCUUAUUGCUGUUGGAUUUCGAACUAUUGACAGGUAAAGGACUCCUCAAAGGAACCGGUUUCUUGGACUUCAUUUAUUCCAUUUCAGAUGCUUUAAAGUAAUUUU
rnacentral:lncRNA from 1 species